AACGAACGCUGGCGGCAGGCCUAACACAUGCAAGUCGAGCGAGACCUUCGGGUCUAGCGGCGGACGGGUGAGUAACGCGUGGGAAUAUGCCCUUUGGUACGGAAUAGCCUCGGGAAACUGAGAGUAAUACCGUAUGUGCCCUUCGGGGGAAAGAUUUAUCGCCAAAGGAGUAGCCCGCUUUGGAUUAGGUAGUUGGUGGGGUAAUGGCCUACCAAGCCUACGAUCCAUAGCUGGUUUGAGAGGAUGAUCAGCCACACUGGGACUGAGACACGGCCCAGACUCCUACGGGAGGCAGCAGUGGGGAAUCUUAGACAAUGGGGGCAACCCUGAUCUAGCCAUGCCGCGUGAGUGAUGAAGGCCUUAGGGUUGUAAAGCUCUUUCAGCUGGGAAGAUAAUGACGGUACCAGCAGAAGAAGCCCCGGCUAACUCCGUGCCAGCAGCCGCGGUAA
rnacentral:rRNA from 1 species